GCUCUUCCGCUUUCAUUCUUGCAAAACCAGAAAAAAAAUUUUUUUUUUUAGUACUAGGGAGAAAAAAAAAAAAAAAUGAAACCACAAACACACAACUCUUUAGCAAUUCGAUCCGCAGUCUCCCCAUAUCUUAGAAGUUAAAACCUGCCAUAUUCAGAAGCUCUUUUCUUUUGCUAUGAACAGCUUUAUCUGGUGAGGUUGGUCUCCUUAUUUCAUUGUUGUUAAAGAAUGUUCUGGUCGGGUUGUUAUUUUUUCCUCUGGAGAAGUUGGAUUAUUGCUUGAAGGGUCAUGUUUUAUCAAGAAUUUCCAAUUCAUGCUCAGAAAAGAAGCAGCGGGGAAAUCAUGCACCAUCAGUAGGGCUGGGUUUUAAAUAGAAUGAGAAAAAAAUAUUCGUUACGAAUUAAUUUAUGUUUCCUUUGCCGUCCGUGCUGCCUCUCUUUUCCCUAGAAUUUCAAGGUGUGUUUACAAUUCACACCUGUGGAUGGUUUGUCCAUUUUUAAGAGUCUGGUUUCUGCUUUGAAGCUGAGAACCGAACAUCGGUUUUCUGGAGCAAAAAAACUAUGAGCCAGAUCAUAGAUAGAGAAGUAUAAUCUAAAUGCUUUUUUCUAAAACAGGAUACAGCAAAGUCAUAUGCCAUUCUUAGAUAAGCGGACAGGGCCAAAGUACCCCAGUCUGGAUAAGCGAUAAUGAUAAUGUGAUUUUUUUUCUUCCCUGCUUAGAUUAUGAGGAAAGCUUAUUAGAAACCUUAUGAAAUCUUAUAGGAGUAAUCAAAAUUGGUAGAAAUUGAUUUAAUUUUUGUUUUCUAAAAAACAAAACAUUUUAGUAUAUCAGGUGGAAUUUUAGAGAUGCGUCUUUUCCAGAAGGGGUGGGCCCUGGUUGUGCAGUGAUUAAAGAGCUCAGUUGCUAAAGGAAAGGCUGGCAGUUCGAACUCACCAGCUACUCUGUGGGAGAAAGAUGUGGCAGUCUGCUCCCAUAAAGAUUUACAGCCUUGGAAACCCUAUGGGAGCAGUUCUAUUCUGUCCUAGAGGGUUGCUGUGAGUCAAAAUUGACUUGACAGCAGUGGUUCUUUCCAGGAUGUAUGUAAUACUAAUUUUUUAGAUUUGAAGAUUUCUUGUGUAGGCAUUCGUUUUGCAAAUGCUGAUGGGCCUGAGGUGCCCAAAGUAGAAGAAGUAGAGAUACUGCUCACUAGAGUGUUUCCCUAAUUGUGUCCAUGUCCCCAGCACCGGCUGGGCCAAUGAAUGCCAUGUAUAUCUGAUGUGCUUGGUCACCCACGGGCCUGUGACUUCCUCUCAGGCCAAGGCGUCGGGUGCUCAAGGUCCCUGACCCUGUGAUCAAGGGAAGCUCUGGAAGUCACUACGACCAUUAGAGGGGUCCAGUUCUAGAGAAGGUCCAGAGACUUCCUGGGCAGGUUGGAUAGUGGAAUGGUUAAGCACAUAGGCUCUGAAGACAGAAAGGCCCGUGUGCAAGUCUCUUUUAUACCUUGUAUAUCUGAGUAAUAUUUAGGCUAGUGGUGUAACCUUUGUAUGCUUCAGUUUCCUCAUUCAUAUUGGCAUAAUAAUGGUAAUAAUAAUAAUAAUACCUGUCUUACAGGGUUGUUGGAAGUAUUAAUAGACAAUGUAUCUAAACUAUAAAGUGGUGUGCCUGGCAAGAAGUAAGUGCUUUCUAAAAUAAAGCAAGGCUCUCCCAGCAGGAGUGUAGGGAGCACCUGCAUCCCAGGGCAGCCUUUGAGACAAUUACAAGACGCUCAUGGUAGUUGUAGGCCAGAUGUCAUACAGUAGAUUUUUGUUAUUCAUGGUAAUUAUGUUCUAAAAAGACACUGCAAACAAUGAAUUAGCAAAUACUGGACAAUUGCUUCUAGAGGAAAUACGAGGUUAGGCUCCUAUGAGCCUCUGGUCACAACAUUUUUGCCAACUAAUCAAUAUAUAACUUUGCUUUAUGCUUGUUUUUGUUUAAUGACACCUUAUUUAUUAUAUUAUUGAUUCAUUAAUAUUGAACUCAUCGCCACCAGUACUAUAACUUGUGCUGGAAGAAAGCUUAUAUAAAACAUAUUUUCUCUGAAAGGCACAUCAUGGCUUUCUUGUAUUUAGGAAUACUAGACAGCACUUCUGUGCUGUGCUUGGGGGCCAUGUUAAAUAACAAAAUCACCAACAAAAAGCACAAAACUGCAAAAAGCAGGACUCUAAAUGGACUGUAAAAAGGACACUUGUUUAAGAGUAUGAGCACCGAAACAAGAAGGCAGAGCAUCACCUUGUCUGACCUCAGCUGAGAACAUGCGACUCAAAUUUUCCACCACUCUGUGCGUGUCCACAAAUGACCGUGAAAGUGCUAGAUGCCUGAAAUGCCUUACAUGGGACAAAUUACUUCAUGCCACAAUUUGAGACCAAUUUCAAGUGGAAGGGAGACAACCGACUGAAAUGGAGAUCACAGAGUGAGCAAAGUAAAUUGAGGGCAGGACAACUGAGGGCCCAGUUUAAGGGGCCAAAACCAGGAGUGUCUGUUGGAAUUGGCCUGCAUUUUUCUCCUCUCUCCAUACCCCAAAUAGUGCUUUAAAAAUCAGUCUCUAUCAUCUUGCAUUCCCUUUUAUUUUACAGAGUUUAGACUAUGUCUGUGUGAUGUAUAUAUGGUGCGUUAAAGAUGGUCCUAAAUCCUUUGAUUCUCCUACCAUUGUCUUGACCAAUAGAAUCUGGUGAGCAUGUCUGUGGGAGAGUGCUGGGCCUCACCUUAAGAGGCCUGGAAGCUUCUGUCUUGAUCUCUUGAAGCCCUGGGCUAUAGAAGUAACAAGUCUGAUUACUCUGCUGGAAACACUGAGGCCACAUGGAGAGGGAGAAGGGGCCCCUUAACCAGCCAUCUCUGCAAAGGCCCCAGGCAUGUGAGUGAAACCAACUUUGACCUUCCAGACCAGCCCAGGCAUGUGAGUGAAGCCAUCUUGGACCCUCCAGACAAACCCCACUGCCAGCUGAACACUAACGAGGCUCCCUAGUUGAUGAACCUCGAGCUGAAGAAUUGGCCAGUAGAGCCCCACCAGUAAAAGAUAUAAUGAAAUGGUUGUUAUAUGAAACCUCUAAGUUUGGGGGUCAUUGUUACAUAACAGUAGAUAGUGAGAGCAGUAUGUGAGAUUGAAAAUUGGGUAUGGUUGUUCUUGAUGUAUCACCUUGAUUGUGAAGGAUGCAGGCAGAUCUUUAGCUAUGAUUUUGGGAGCACCAGUCUUUCAUUUUGGGUCAGGCCUAUCAAGAAACACUGGCCUUUUCUACUGGUCAGGGGUGGUCACUGCAUAUCCCAAAGGGACAAUAACCCAGACUCAAAAGAUGAAAGGACUACAUAAGACCUUCAAGGACAAACGUCUUCAAAUUGAAGGUGAGAGUCACAUUUUUCAUGUCUCCUGAUAAUGCCCAUGUUGCUUGUUUUGGAAUUGUGAUGGGAACAAAGAGAGGGGAGUGUGUGUGCAUCAGGGGGAGUUAUUUAUCAGGAGCUUGUUAAACAGGCUGCAAUGUGGAGUGGGGACUUAAUUUGUGAAACCCUUUGUCAACAUUUACUUUUUUGAGCUGAGUUUGGCAUAACCCACUACCUAAUCUCACACACCUUGGGGAUGAUAGGCUCAAAGCUAGGCUGGGCUCUGUUUUAAUUCCAUUCUCCCCAGAGCUCAGGAGAGCCCAUGACUCCUUAAUCAGAUUAGGAGCAGGUAACGUAUCAGAACAUUACAGCAACUGAGGCCCAGAGAAGUUGGGAUAACUUGUGUAGGGUCAAAGCCCAGAAUGGAAGCCCCAUUCUUGAUUCUGAAUCUGGAAUUCUUUCUGCUGUUUUCAUCCAUAUCCUUUCAAAUGUCCUUGCUUUCUGGAUCCAGCUGUCAGGGACCAUUAUGAUAGUAAUCAUUUAUAUUUUAAUUUAAUAAUUGUUCUGCAGGAGAAUGCAAAAGUAAAAAAAAAUUAUUGUUAUGGAAUAGGAAUCAAAUGUCAAAAUACAAUCAGAAUAAAAUAACUUUGUUCUGGUACAUCUACAUAGUUUUUACAUUUCACAUUUUUUAAUCAUUCGUGCAAUAUGCUUUGCUAAAACAAUAGACAUUUUGCUAAAAUGUCUCUUCUCUUUUAUUUCCACGUAUUUAGGCAGCAAUUCAAAGGUCCAGGAUACUGCCACUGGGCAAAAGUCCAGGUGCAAGUGAAGUUGGUUCCAGCCUCCUGGUCACUUUGGCAGGACUGGAUGUGGCUAACUUCUCCCCAGAUUCACAUCUAAUUUGCCCCAGAGGAGGAAGGAUGGCAGCUAUCCAUGUCUAGAAAGGUCUGAAAUGAGGGGCUGCUUAUUUUGGACCUUGAGGGAUUCAUGGAUCACAAUCCCACAUCAAGAACCUCUGAUCUGGAAGGCCUUACUUUUCUCCACUUCUUUUUUCUGCUUUCCACAUAUGGGAAAUUUUCAUGAUAUUCUCUUUAAAUGUAGCCAUUUGGAUUGAGAGAUCAUGUAAAGAGCUUUAGGCAAACCUCUGAGAAUCAGCCAAUGACAACUUUAUGGAUCACAGUAGUCUGAUCCUGCUGUGCGUAGGGUAAUCAUGAGUCAGAGCCGGACUUGAUGGCAGCCAACGACAACAACAACGUUCCCAUAUUGCCACCUUAAUAUAAAUGCUUCUUGCUGAGAAAGGGCACCAGGGUGAACACCAGUCUGUGUUGGGUUGUCGUAAUGGUGAAAUGUGCAGGAAACCCUAGCCCAAGGGCUAGCCUCCUUUCUCCAAGCGAGACACUAUGUACUGGAUUUCACGUCUUCUUUCCAGUUUAUAACAAUAAAAUCAGAGUUCCUUUGUAUAUUUGCUUUACAAUAUAUUUGAGAUAUCUUUGUUGUGUAAGCUUGUAUUAUUCAUUUUGUCUUUUACAAAAUCUGUUGAACGCUCUGUCUUGGCCAUUUGGAAAAAGAAACACUCAGGAUAUUGGUGUUUCGACUUUCAGUGUUUGUUGUCUGUCUUUUCCUUGCAAUGGAGGGAAUGUUUUCAGAGGGUAAAAUGGUGAAAUUACUUUUGAAUUGUUUUUGAAAUUCAUUUGUCAUUGUGGUAGGCAGAAUAAUAUCCCCCAAAGGUGUCUACAUCCUAAUUCCCAGAACCAGUAAACGUAUUACCUUACAUGGAAAAGGGACUUUGCACAUGUGAUUAUUUAAGGACUUGAGAUGGGAAGAGUGUCUUCGGCCCUCUGGGUAGAUCCAACAUAAUCACAAGUGUCCUUAUAAGAGGGAACCAAGAGGGCCUGUGUCAGAGAAGAAAUGUAAUGAUGGAAGUAGAGGUCGGAGUGAAGUGAAGAAGAAGCCACGAGCCAAGGAAUGCAGGUGGCUUCUAAAAGUUGAAAAAAGCAAGGAAACAGACUCUCCCCUGGAACCUCAGAAGGAAUGCAGCUCUGGCAACACCUUGAUUUAUCUUCUAGUUCCAUUUUGGACUUCUGAUCUCCAGAGCUGUAAAAUAAUAAAUCGGUGAUGUUUAAGCCACGAAGUUUAUGGUAAUUUUUUACAAUAGCAUUAGGAAACUGAUAUAACAAAAAAAAAAAAAAAAAUUUUUUUUUUUUUUUUUUAGUCAUUAACAAUUUUAUUCAAAAACAACAAAGUAGGAGCAAGGCCAAAAUUCCAAAGGAAAGUACUCUUGCUCUGUCCCCUAAAACAUCUGUAACGUAGGAUACCCCAGAGUUCAUUAAAGUAUGUACAGUUGUUUCUCCUCCUUGAGUGACUUCAAAUGGUUUUGAUGCUGUAAUUCUUGUGCGUGGUUUUUAUAGUUUUACUCUCUCCUUCCUCUCUGUCUUCUUGCAGACAGUAUGGAUCCCUUUCUGCUCUCACUUGAUGUCUCCAAUCUAUUGUGGGAGUCUGGUGGCAUAGUGGUUAAGAGCUCGACUGCUAACCAAAAGGUUGGCAGUUCAAAUCCACCAGCCAUUCCUUGGAAACUCAAUGGGGCAGUUCUACUCUGUCCUAUAGGGUCAUUAUGAGUCAGAAUCGACUAGACGGCAAUGGGUAAUCUAGUGUGGGCUCAAAAUCAAACAAGUUAUGAUUGACUUUAAAGGAAGAGAAAAUGGGCUCUGAGAGAGAUCCCAAAAGACCCUUCUAUAAAAGACCGCGUGAGCUUUAAGGAGUAGAUUGCGGCAUCUAUUUUGGCCCCCAAGGCUCUUCAUCUAUUUAUUUUGCCUGUAUUCUGUUUCUCGUCUGUGUUCAGGAUAGUUGAGUAUUCCGGGCAAACAUUCCCCAAAUAAAUGAGAUGAUCACUGUAUUAUUAAAUAUACCUCUUACAAGUUAUUUCAUAUCAAUCAAUAAUCACUACAGUGUCACGUCAUAUGUAGGUGAAGAAAAGACUAUUGAAGACUGCUUACCAGCUGUGUUGCCUUGUGUAUACCUGAUGAUCUCUGGGUCUCCGUUUCGCCCAUUGUGAAAUGGGCUUCAUCACACCUGCUCUCGCUUCUUCACUUGAGCCUCAUGAGGCCAGAUGAGGACACAUGAGAUAAUGUAUGAAAGUGCUUUCAUUUUUUGGGGGCAAAAUGUGAUAGAAUUACACUUGCUAUCAAAAGCCACAAUGAAAGUUUUAUUUAUCUCUACCAGUGUUUGGGUACAUCAAAGUUUCCUUUAGCUUAUUCGGUAGAAAUGCAUUCACCAUCCUCUCAUUAUUUAUUUAUUCAGCUAAUACUAGUUGAGCAUAUACCAUAUGCCAGCUAGGGCCUGAGAAUAGCAGAUGGCCUAGAGGUGGAGUGCUCUGAUGAAUAGAACUUGGGAAUCACUCAUUCCUGGGUCUGGAUCCUGCUUCUGUGCAUUUUCAGUUUAAUUUGUCUGAUUCUAGCUUUCUCAUCUACAAAAUGAUGCUAAUGACACCUACCUAGUGGGCCUGCUGUAAGAAUUAACUACAAAGUAUGUAAAAUUCCAAGACGUGGUAACCAUUCAAUAUAUGUUUAAUAGGUAUAAUAUUUGGGAGCUGUUAACCCAGUAUGAGGAAACCCUGGUGGUGCGGUGGUUAAGAGUUCAGCUGUUAACCAAAAUGUCAGCAGUUCAAAUCCACCAGGCGCUCCUUGGAAACACUACGGGGCAGUUUUACUCUGUCCAAUAUGGUUGCUAUGAGUCAGAAUAGACACAACAGCAAAGGGUGUUUUUUUUUUUUUUUUAACCCAAAAUGAAGGAGCCCUGGCGGUGCAGUGGUUAAGCACUUGGCUGCUAACCAGAAGGUCAGAGGUUGGAACCCUCCAGCAGCUCUGCAAGUGAAAGAUGUGGCAGUCUACUUCGGUAAAGAUUACAGCUUUAGAAACUCUAUGGGGCAAUUCUACUCUGUCCUACAAGGUUGCUAUGAAUUGGAAUCAACUUGACGGCAACAGGAAACCAGUUUGUUUUCAUCUGUAAUAAUCCUAACUCUUAUUGUCCUGUAACUUUCAUAUUGAUUGAAACCUGGUGAGUUCAGACAUAACUCCUUCCAUGGACCACAAGGCUUGCUGAUCUAAACAAGGAGAAGGAACUGACAUGAUGGAGUUUCAGCGAAACAGGAAGGGGAGGGGAAAGCCUGUCCUUUUUUGACUAAGCAAAGUGGAGAAAGAAAAGUGGAUGAGAGACAGACGGAGCAAGCAGGUAGAUAUAUAUAUUAUGACUUCUCCCAUCCAAGCCCAAAUUGACGGUCCUAGAUGUUAAAAAGAUUGAGGGGGUAGCCAGGAGCAGAGGAAUUUUCACCCUGCUCUCUGUUUGGGGCUGUGGGAGGGGAUUAUCACAGGAACCUCCCAGAGGCCUGAGAUGCCUGCAGCAGAGUAAAAAGUGUGGGAGACAGCCUGAGUUAGCACUCCUGAACUUCCCUCGGCUUAGGUGUGGUGUGCUAGGAACUCAGAAAUGUAUAUGUGGCCUGUGGAAAUGCAGAAGUCAGCUGAUGGUGUGACAGAUGAGGCUGGCCAUUUCAGGGGCAAAGAGACCCUCUAGCCAAGGCAGGUAGUGCAGCUGGGGAUUGACCAGGAUCACCACCAGACCUCAGGUGUAGCACUAGCAAGGGCCAAGAUGAAGCCAAAGCUGUGAGGCGGGCCACAGGGCUGGGAUGGAGAGCAGAGACCAAGUUACCUAUUACAGAUUUCAGCACUGUAGGCCAGUGCCAGUGCAAGGGAGCUCCUCAUUAGAACUGAACAUAUGGAGGCAGGGCCUGCUCUUUCCAACACCCGAAAACUCCCAAGUCUCCCCAUUUCCCCACAUCCAGAUGUCAUCUUGUAAAGGAGGACAUCUGAAAGAUUGAGCGUUUAUCCCAAGGAGAUCCAGCCACCCCCAAAAAACUAUCCAAAAAAGAGACUGAGAUAUUGCAAAUUGGUGAGUUUAAAGCAUAGCCUCCACGCCCAUUAUCUAAAGGAUGAAAGGAAGAUUCCAUCAUUAGUAGGAAAUAAAGAAGCUCUAUUUUGUUAACAUAAGCAACUUGGCCAUAUUUUCAAUUUUUGACCCUAGCACAUGCGGCAGCAAUAACGUGGAUGGACGUGUCUGCAAUGGGGAUGGCCCAGCCCUCCCCCAGAGUAGGAUCUCUUAGUAUAGGCUUGUGAGCAACUAUAGGCUGAAGAGCUCAGGGCAGGGGCUGAAUUAUGUCAGAAAAGCUGCAAGGGCAAGAGUGGCUGUAUUAGAGUUCUACCCAAGAAGCAGAACCAGUAGGGUUUGUGAGUGUCUGUAUAGAGACUUGGUGAUCUGCCCCAUAAAGAUUAUAGCCUAGAAAAUCCUAUGGGGCAGUUCUGCUCUGUCACAUGAAGUUGCUAUGAGUGGGAAUUGACUUGAUGACACCUAACAACAAUAAUAACAACAUACACACGCACACACUCAUAUAUACACAUACUUGUACACAUGUAUAUGUACAUACAUGAUAUACACAUAUUCAUACAUACGUGUAUGUAUACAUACACGUAUACAUAUGCAUGAAAACCUUGGUGGCGUACUG